rnacentral:rRNA from 1 species
AACGAACGCUGGCGGCAGGCUUAACACAUGCAAGUCGAACGCCCGUAGCAAUACGGGAGUGGCGGACGGGUGAGUAACGCGUGGGAACGUACCCUGAGGUACGGAAUAACCGAGGGAAACUUCGGCUAAUACCGUAUGAGCCCCGCAAGGGGGAAAGAUUUAUCGCCUUGGGAGCGGCCCGCGUCGGAUUAGCUAGUUGGUGGGGUAACGGCCUACCAAGGCUUCGAUCCGUAGCUGGUCUGAGAGGACGAUCAGCCACACUGGGACUGAGACACGGCCCAGACUCCUACGGGAGGCAGCAGUGGGGAAUCUUGCGCAAUGGGGGCAACCCUGACGCAGCCAUGCCGCGUGAACGAUGAAGGCCUUAGGGUUGUAAAGUUCUUUUACCCGUGACGAUGAUGACGGUAACGGGGGAAUAAGCUCCGGCUAACUUCGUGCCAGCAGCCGCGGUAAGGCACGACUGU